GAGUUUUAUUCUACGUUUUAACUUUGAAAACGGUGUUUGAUGAACAGAGAACGUGGACUAUCGGUGGUGCCGUACGGACGGAGAGUGACAAGUACGGACAGACGCAGACCAAAGACCAAGCCCACAAGCCAAUGACCAGUGGAUGAGUGGGUCCCAUGCCUCUUGCCCCAUUCCAAAAGGCAAAGCGAUAAAGAAAGAAAAAGACGCGCGCGCAGAGAGUCACAGCUGACUCCUCCCACUGUACAACACACUCCCAUCAACAGCUCCACGGCGCACUCUUUCUUUGCUUUGUCUUAUUAUUUGGGUCGGGUGUAUAAAUUCUUGUGUAAAUAACCAUUUUUUUCCCACCCACUCAUGUUUUGCCUUUUACUUUAUGUGAUGGAUCGC
rnacentral:lncRNA from 1 species